UAGUUUAUACAGAGUGUAGUAUAGUGUACAGACAGGAGACCGGAGUCGGCGCGAGAGGACGUGCGCUGUAACAAAACACCAGAAACCCAGCAAUGCGGUUAAUCAUCCUCGACGAUGCCAACGUGGUGGCGGACUGGGCCGCGAGGUUCGUGCUCCAGCGCAUCUCGGAGUUCAAGCCCGGCCCUGGCCGACACUUCGUGCUGGGGCUGCCCACGGGUGGAACACCUCUGGGGAUGUACAGGCGGCUUAUCGACUUCUAUAAGGAGGGCCGGCUGUCCUUCAAAUACGUCACUACGUUCAACAUGGACGAGUAUGUCGGCUUGCCCCGCGACCACCCUGAAUCGUACCACUACUACAUGUGGAACGAGUUCUUCAAACACAUCGACAUCGAGCCCGGCAACGCGCAUGUGCUGGACGGCAACGCGCCAGACCUGGCCGCCGAGUGCCGCCGGUAUGAGGAGAUGAUCGCGGCCGCGGGCGGCGUGCAUCUUUUUAUCGGAGGAAUCGGUCCGGACGGGCACAUCGCGUUCAACGAGCCGGGCUCUUCGCUGGUGUCCCGCACCCGGGUCAAGACUCUCGCCUACGACACGUUAGAAGCCAACAAGCGGUUCUUCGGCGGCGACAUCUCGCAAGUGCCGCGGCAGGCGCUCACCGUCGGCGUCGGGACCGUCAUGGACGCCAAGGAGGUGAUGAUCCUGAUCACGGGCGUGCACAAGGCGCUGGCGCUGUCCCGCGCCGUCGAAGAGGGCGUCAACCACAUGUGGACCGUCUCCGCGUUCCAGCAGCACCCUCAAACGCUGCUCAUAGCGGACGAAGACGCCACGCUGGAGCUGCGGGUUAAAACCGUCAAGUACUUUAAGGUAUGUGUCCCAUGAGAGUCAACCACAUGUGGACCGUCUCCGCCUUCCAGCAGCCCCCUCAAACGCUGCUCAUAGCGGACGAAGACGCCACGCUGGAGCUGCGGGUUAAAACCGUCAAGUACUUUAAGGUAUGUGUCCCAUGAGAGUCAACCACAUGUGGACCGUCUCCGCCUUCCAGCAGCCCCCUCAAACGCUGCUCAUAGCUGACGAAGACGCCACGCUGGAGCUGCGGGUUAAGACCGUCAAGUACUUCAAGAGUCUCAUGGACGUGCACAACAAGCUGAUCGAGGGCACGUUUUGACCCGACGCCGCCGGCAGAGGGCCACACACUGGAACUAACUGUUAGGUUUUAUAAUUUUAUACAACUGUUAGAUAAGAUCAAAACUGUAAUAGAAUAAGCUAUAAAUGAUUAUGUAUAUUUCCAA